UACGUAGGGCGCAAGCGUUGUCCGGAAUUAUUGGGCGUAAAGAGCUCGUAGGCGGUGUGUCACGUCGGCCGUGAAAACCUGGGGCUUAACUCUGGGCGUGCGGUCGAUACGGGCAUCACUAGGGUUCGGCAGGGGAGACUGGAAUUCCUGGUGUAGCGGUGAAUGCGCAGAUAUCAGGAGGAACACCGGUGGCGAAGGCGGGUCUCUGGGCCGAUACUGACGCUGAGGAGCGAAAGCAUGGGUAGCGAACAGG
rnacentral:rRNA from 1 species